UUAAGCGACUAAGCGUACACGGUGGAUGCCCUGGCAGUCAGAGGCGAUGAAGGACGUGCUAAUCUGCGAUAAGCGUCGGUAAGGUGAUAUGAACCGUUAUAACCGGCGAUUUCCGAAUGGGGAAACCCAGUGUGUUUCGACACACUAUCAUUAACUGAAUCCAUAGGUUAAUGAGGCGAACCGGGGGAACUGAAACAUCUAAGUACCCCGAGGAAAAGAAAUCAACCGAGAUUCCCCCAGUAGCGGCGAGCGAACGGGGAGGAGCCCAGAGCCUGAAUCAGUGUGUGUGUUAGUGGAAGCGUCUGGAAAGGCGUGCGAUACAGGGUGACAGCCCCGUACACAAAAAUGCACAUGCUGUGAGCUCGAUGAGUAGGGCGGGACACGUGGUAUCCUGUCUGAAUAUGGGGGGACCAUCCUCCAAGGCUAAAUACUCCUGACUGACCGAUAGUGAACCAGUACCGUGAGGGAAAGGCGAAAAGAACCCCGGCGAGGGGAGUGAAAAAGAACCUGAAACCGUGUACGUACAAGCAGUGGGAGCCUCUUUAUGGGGUGACUGCGUACCUUUUGUAUAAUGGGUCAGCGACUUAUAUUCUGUAGCAAGGUUAACCGAAUAGGGGAGCCGAAGGGAAACCGAGUCUUAACUGGGCGUUAAGUUGCAGGGUAUAGACCCGAAACCCGGUGAUCUAGCCAUGGGCAGGUUGAAGGUUGGGUAACACUAACUGGAGGACCGAACCGACUAAUGUUGAAAAAUUAGCGGAUGACUUGUGGCUGGGGGUGAAAGGCCAAUCAAACCGGGAGAUAGCUGGUUCUCCCCGAAAGCUAUUUAGGUAGCGCCUCGUGAAUUCAUCUCCGGGGGUAGAGCACUGUUUCGGCAAGGGGGUCAUCCCGACUUACCAACCCGAUGCAAACUGCGAAUACCGGAGAAUGUUAUCACGGGAGACACACGGCGGGUGCUAACGUCCGUCGUGAAGAGGGAAACAACCCAGACCGCCAGCUAAGGUCCCAAAGUCAUGGUUAAGUGGGAAACGAUGUGGGAAGGCCCAGACAGCCAGGAUGUUGGCUUAGAAGCAGCCAUCAUUUAAAGAAAGCGUAAUAGCUCACUGGUCGAGUCGGCCUGCGCGGAAGAUGUAACGGGGCUAAACCAUGCACCGAAGCUGCGGCAGCGACGCUUAUGCGUUGUUGGGUAGGGGAGCGUUCUGUAAGCCUGCGAAGGUGUACUGUGAGGUAUGCUGGAGGUAUCAGAAGUGCGAAUGCUGACAUAAGUAACGAUAAAGCGGGUGAAAAGCCCGCUCGCCGGAAGACCAAGGGUUCCUGUCCAACGUUAAUCGGGGCAGGGUGAGUCGACCCCUAAGGCGAGGCCGAAAGGCGUAGUCGAUGGGAAACAGGUUAAUAUUCCUGUACUUGGUGUUACUGCGAAGGGGGGACGGAGAAGGCUAUGUUGGCCGGGCGACGGUUGUCCCGGUUUAAGCGUGUAGGCUGGUUUUCCAGGCAAAUCCGGAAAAUCAAGGCUGAGGCGUGAUGACGAGGCACUACGGUGCUGAAGCAACAAAUGCCCUGCUUCCAGGAAAAGCCUCUAAGCAUCAGGUAACAUCAAAUCGUACCCCAAACCGACACAGGUGGUCAGGUAGAGAAUACCAAGGCGCUUGAGAGAACUCGGGUGAAGGAACUAGGCAAAAUGGUGCCGUAACUUCGGGAGAAGGCACGCUGAUACGUAGGUGAAGUCCCUUGCUGAUGGAGCUGAAAUCAGUCGAAGAUACCAGCUGGCUGCAACUGUUUAUUAAAAACACAGCACUGUGCAAACACGAAAGUGGACGUAUACGGUGUGACGCCUGCCCGGUGCCGGAAGGUUAAUUGAUGGGGUUAGCGGUAACGCGAAGCUCUUGAUCGAAGCCCCGGUAAACGGCGGCCGUAACUAUAACGGUCCUAAGGUAGCGAAAUUCCUUGUCGGGUAAGUUCCGACCUGCACGAAUGGCGUAAUGAUGGCCAGGCUGUCUCCACCCGAGACUCAGUGAAAUUGAACUCGCUGUGAAGAUGCAGUGUACCCGCGGCAAGACGGAAAGACCCCGUGAACCUUUACUAUAGCUUGACACUGAACAUUGAGCCUUGAUGUGUAGGAUAGGUGGGAGGCUUUGAAGUGUGGACGCCAGUCUGCAUGGAGCCGACCUUGAAAUACCACCCUUUAAUGUUUGAUGUUCUAACGUUGGCCCCUAAUCGGGGUUGCGGACAGUGUCUGGUGGGUAGUUUGACUGGGGCGGUCUCCUCCUAAAGAGUAACGGAGGAGCACGAAGGUUGGCUAAUCCUGGUCGGACAUCAGGAGGUUAGUGCAAUGGCAUAAGCCAGCUUGACUGCGAGCGUGACGGCGCGAGCAGGUGCGAAAGCAGGUCAUAGUGAUCCGGUGGUUCUGAAUGGAAGGGCCAUCGCUCAACGGAUAAAAGGUACUCCGGGGAUAACAGGCUGAUACCGCCCAAGAGUUCAUAUCGACGGCGGUGUUUGGCACCUCGAUGUCGGCUCAUCACAUCCUGGGGCUGAAGUAGGUCCCAAGGGUAUGGCUGUUCGCCAUUUAAAGUGGUACGCGAGCUGGGUUUAGAACGUCGUGAGACAGUUCGGUCCCUAUCUGCCGUGGGCGCUGGAGAACUGAGGGGGGCUGCUCCUAGUACGAGAGGACCGGAGUGGACGCAUCACUGGUGUUCGGGUUGUCAUGCCAAUGGCACUGCCCGGUAGCUAAAUGCGGAAGAGAUAAGUGCUGAAAGCAUCUAAGCACGAAACUUGCCCCGAGAUGAGUUCUCCCUGACUCCUUGAGAGUCCUGAAGGAACGUUGAAGACGACGACGUUGAUAGGCCGGGUGUGUAAGCGCAGCGAUGCGUUGAGCUAACCGGUACUAAUGAACCGUGAGGCUUAACCUU
rnacentral:rRNA from 1 species